GAUGAACGCUGGCGGCGUGCCUAAUACAUGCAAGUCGAGCGAACGGACGAGAAGCUUGCUUCUCUGAUGUUAGCGGCGGACGGGUGAGUAAUACGUGGAUAACCUACCUAUAAGACUGGGAUAACUUCGGGAAACCGGAGCUAAUACCGGAUAAUAUUUUGAACCGCAUGGUUCAAAAGUGAAAGACGGUCUUGCUGUCACUUAUAGAUGGAUCCGCGCUGCAUUAGCUAGUUGUUAAGGUAACGGCUUACCAAGGCAACGAUGCAUAGCCGACCUGGGAGGGUGAUCGGCCACACUGGAACGGAGCCACGGUCCAGGCGCCUACGGGAGGCAGCAGUAGGGAAUCUUCCGCAAAGGUCGAAAGCCUGACGGAGCAACGCCGCGUGAGUGAUGAAGGUCUUCGGAUCGUAAAACUCUGUUAUUAGGGAAGAACAUAUGUGUAAGUAACUGUGCACAUCUUGACGGUACCUAAUCAGAAAGCCACGGCUAACUACGUG
rnacentral:rRNA from 1 species